GUUCGUGACUUUCCUAUUCUAACAUAUCACGAUAUAUCAGUAAAAAUAUAUAGUGCAGCUUUUAUAAUUUUAUACAUUGACAGUAAUUUUAGAAAACUGAGACGGACAAAUAAAUCAGUAGCUUCAAGAAAAUGACAACAAUCGCAAAAAUCUCACAAGCAAAUAUCGUGCAAGCUACGCAAAAGCAUACAGCUACUGUAUUUUUCUUCCACGGUUCCGGUGGCACAGCAAAAGAUAUUAAAGAAUGGAUUAACGUUCUUAACAGAGAAAAGUUGCAGUUUCCACACAUAAAGUUAAUUUAUCCUAGCGCACCCAGUCAACCUUAUACACCAAAUGGCGGAAUGAUGCAAAAUGUAUGGUUUGAUCGUAUGGCAAUAUCUAAUCAAGUACCAGAACAUAUAGAGUCAGUUGAUUCUAUGUGUCAGAAUAUAUCAGACUUGAUUGAUAGAGAAGUAACCAAUGGAAUUCCAUUUAACAGAAUAAUUCUGGGUGGCUUUUCAAUGGGUGGUUGCCUUGCAUUGCAUUUAGCAUACAGAUACAAAACAUCUAUAGCUGGUUGCUUUGUUAUGUCUUCCUUCCUAAACAAAGGAUCUAUAAUCUAUGAGCAUUUAAAAGCAAGGCCAGAACAUAAUAAGGUACCACUUGUUCAGUACCAUGGUACGAUAGAUACUUUGGUUCCUAUUGAAUGGGGUGAGGAAAGUGCUAAGAAUCUGAAGGAGCUUGGCGUGAAUGUGAAAUUUACACCGCUGCAAAAUAUUGAACAUGAAUUGAGCCGUGCAGAGAUUCAAAAUUGGAAAGAGUGGCUUCUCAAUAUCUUACCAGAUAAAUAAUAAUAUUAAUUGACACAAUCGAAUCCAUGGAAAAUAUCCUUACAUUUUAUUUUAUCUGAAGAUAUUACUCGAAUCAAUCCUUGGAUACUCUUCCUUGAAUUUUGAAAUGCUCGAGAUGCUCUUAAAUGUCUGAACAUUAAUCGUCGAGCUUCGGAAUAUAUGUAAAUAUAUGUAUAUAACAUUAUAACAUAUUGGCGACAGAGAUCAAGCAGAUCUGCUGUAAGUGUGUUAUGAUAUCGCAAAUUAACAAUUUGGAGAUUCCUAAAAUCUGGGUCCUUGGGCCGCUUGGCCCUCGAUAUCGUGGAAAAAAUAUUUACCCGCACCGGAGAUUAGGAUCACCACCCUUCCUCCUCUGGCUUUCCCUUGCCAUCUCCUUCAACGUGCAUAUAUACGCAUGCGACGAGAGUGAGGAAGGGGGGAAAUCGCACCGACGAGUCCAUCGGCAACGAGUGCGCAGUGAAACGAAGAGGGUGAACUGCGACGGGAUUGCUGCGCCCUUUGGGUGACUCCGGAUAGGGUGGGUGAUGUAUAGCCCCACUGGCUUGGCGUUCUCGUUCUCGCUACCGACGUCGCGUCAUGACACGGACGUUUAUUUUUCGUCGCAGUAUCGACUUUUAUGGGAAAGAUAUAAAGCACACGUUAUUAGUUAUUAGUUGCGAUACAAAACACCCCGAUGUGUGCGGGAUCGAUGUUUAACAACGAGGAACUUGCGAAGAGGGUGAACGUGAAAGGGAACGGGUUAGUGCAUAUUGAGCUAAAAAUAUUCCUAUAGGGGAAAAUCUUUAAAAAGGAAGAAGAGAAAAUACCGAUACACACACACACGUACAAAAUACAUAUUAAUAUAAUACGGGGUGGAAAACUCUUAUAUUUACAACGUGGAACCGAUAUACACAAUGAUGGUGAUAUUUGCGACGAGCAGUUUCCACAGAGUAAACAUAAUAAAAUUGUAAGAAGAAAAAGGAAGACUAGAGUGGACGCUCGUCGACGCGCAAAUAAAGUGAUUAAGGUAGAUGUAGCCUGGACGUGUUGAGAAUAAAUCUGGGUCAUCACGAAUGGAUCUCUCGAUGGAUAGAACGAAAUAAGAUUAUAUCACUUUCUACCAAAACAACAAGAACAGAAAUUUGAAUCACUAUAGAUACAGUUGAGUACUGAAGAUGAAUUUGCGUCAUUAGAGAGACAUGUGUGUUUUUUAUCGAUGAACAACAUAGAAAACAAUUUUGGACAAUAUUAGAAAACUUAAUUACAGAUUAAAGAAACGCGUAUUCGGAGAAUAAUGUAAUUGCAUACAACGUAACGCGAUGAGAAAAAUACAUAAUAAUUAAUAAAAUUUAUUAAUAUAAUAAUUAUAUUUACAUAAUAUUAAUUACUAUAUUAUUAUACGAUUUAAUUAGGACAUAUUGCAUAAAUAACACGAGAUAAUCACUGGUGAUAUUAAUAUAAUAAAAGUUAAACAAAAAUAUGUGAUGAUAUUCAUCGAGGAAGCAAUAUCUUCCUUACUAUCUUCUAAGUGCGUCCGAAGACGGUGAAUGCUCGAUGGUAAAUAAUAUGGCGCGCGUUGGCCCGCAGUCGGUGACGUCAAGGACUGAGAGGUAUGCCGAUGGUUCGAUGUAAAGAGGCUGGGCAACGAAAGUGGAUACAACGAAAUUUCCCAAAGGACGUAGAGUAAAUUUCCCGAAGGAAAAAAGAAACAAAAUCAAUAUUUGUAUUACAGAAAUAAUAAAAAAAAAA